UAUCUAUCUAUCUCUUAGGUUUAUGGCGUUUCCUUUUAGAUUUCGCCAAUGUCAAGUGUAUUUAAUACUCUGCUUUCUAUAGCGGGCUUCGUGAACGAGCAAGGUCACAGAUAUCUGAUUAAAACUAUUAUUAUUUUCACCUUUCAAAUACUUGACAGUUUUCGUGAUGACGGACGUCUCAACGGAAAUAGCGUAAUGACAAUUAUAAGGACGAAAUAGUAAGAAGGGGAGGAGUCCUUCGGCUUGAUGAAGAUGAAUCGGUGCAGACAUGAAAGAGCGCUAUCUCACGUUUCACACCUGCUCCUGCUAAAUUUUUCACAGAAGUCGAACACCGCCCGUCACGAUUCGUCGCUGUCAACUAUCAUAGCCACGACGCUGACAGCUAUAAGUCUGUCCAGACUUACGUGACCAGGACACGGCAAAGCGCCAACCCAUGUGAAGCGGACUAAGUGUCCUCCGCCAUGCUUCCACCUUAUUAGGAAUAAUAUGGCCUGGUAAGCAUGGGGAACUGUUGUAUUAAAAAAUUGUUUAACUUAAUAAAUUUCGUUCUAUUUGGAAA